rnacentral:rRNA from 1 species
UUGACCUGGCUCAGGACGAACGCUGGCGGCGUGCUUACACAUGCAAGUCGAACGGAAAGCCCCUUCGGGGGUGCUCGAGUGGCGAACGGGUGAGUAACACGUGGGUGAUCUGCCCUGCACUUUGGGAUAAGCCUGGGAAACUGGGUCUAAUACCGGAUAGGACCAUGCCAUGCAUGUGGUGUGGUGGAAAGCUUUUGCGGUGUGGGAUGGGCCCGCGGCCUAUCAGCUUGUUGGUGGGGUGAUGGCCUACCAAGGCGACGACGGGUAGCCGGCCUGAGAGGGUGUCCGGCCACACUGGGACUGAGAUACGGCCCAGACUCCUACGGGAGGCAGCAGUGGGGAAUAUUGCACAAUGGGCGCAAGCCUGAUGCAGCGACGCCGCGUGAGGGAUGACGGCCUUCGGGUUGUAAACCUCUUUCAGUACCGACGAAGCGUAAGUGACGGUAGGUACAGAAGAAGCACCGGCCAACUACGUGCCAGCAGCCGCGGUAAUACGUAGGGUGCGAGCGUUGUCCGGAAUUACUGGGCGUAAAGAGCUCGUAGGUGGUUUGUCGCGUUGUUCGUGAAAACUCACAACUCAAUUGUGGGCGUGCGGGCGAUACGGGCAGACUGGAGUACUGCAGGGGAGACUGGAAUUCCUGGUGUAGCGGUGGAAUGCGCAGAUAUCAGGAGGAACACCGGUGGCGAAGGCGGGUCUCUGGGCAGUAACUGACGCUGAGGAGCGAAAGCGUGGGGAGCGAACAGGAUUAGAUACCCUGGUAGUCCACGCCGUAAACGGUGGGUACUAGGUGUGGGUUUCCUUCCUUGGGAUCCGUGCCGUAGCUAACGCAUUAAGUACCCCGCCUGGGGAGUACGGCCGCAAGGCUAAAACUCAAAGGAAUUGACGGGGGCCCGCACAAGCGGCGGAGCAUGUGGAUUAAUUCGAUGCAACGCGAAGAACCUUACCUGGGUUUGACAUGCACAGGACGCGUCUAGAGAUAGGCGUUCCCUUGUGGUCUGUGUGCAGGUGGUGCAUGGCUGUCGUCAGCUCGUGUCGUGAGAUGUUGGGUUAAGUCCCGCAACGAGCGCAACCCUUGUCUCAUGUUGCCAGCGCGUUAUGGCGGGGACUCGUGAGAGACUGCCGGGGUCAACUCGGAGGAAGGUGGGGAUGACGUCAAGUCAUCAUGCCCCUUAUGUCCAGGGCUUCACACAUGCUACAAUGGCCGGUACAAAGGGCUGCGAUGCCGUGAGGUGGAGCGAAUCCUUUCAAAGCCGGUCUCAGUUCGGAUCGGGGUCUGCAACUCGCCUGCAUGAAGCCGGAGUUGCUAGUAACGCGCGUCAGCUAUAGUGCGUGAUACAGUUCUCGGGCGUUGACACAC